rnacentral:tRNA from 2 species
GGAGAGGUGUCCGAGUGGCUUAAGGAGCACGCUUGGAAAGCGUGUGUGCGGCUAAUGCCGUACCGUGGGUUCGAAUCCCACCCUCUCCGCCA